rnacentral:tRNA from 1 species
CCAUCUAGUAUCGUUUCCAAUGACAGAAUUAUAUCGUCAAACAUUUUGUAUAAAAUAACCAGUCUAACUGUA